UUUUUUUUGCGUGGUCGUAGAAAUAAGUUUGUAAUCGGCGUUUCGCCCCCUCCCCUUUUUUUAUAUUAAUAAAGAAGGUUUCCUCCUCCCUUUUUUUUUUAUACAAACAGCUGUGCCUUUUGACGGGCUGCCUACGUACCUCUUUCGAGGAUCAAGCCGACCGUAGUUCACAUUACAUAAAUAUAUAACGAGCUGGCGGUUUUUGCCGACCAGGCUUAACAUUUUUUUUU
rnacentral:lncRNA from 1 species